rnacentral:lncRNA from 1 species
CCGAAAGGGCGCGCGCCCUCCCCCUCCCCUCGGGCGGGCCCGCGCCUCCGGGCGGCGGAGCCCCGCGCCUGCCUCCGGGCGGCGGAGCCCCGCGCCGCGGCUCUCCGUGGGGUUGAUAAAGGCCGCUGGAACACAGGCACACCAUCGGAUACCGUCAGUGACCUUGUCCACCCAGGCUGUUGCUCUGCAGACCCUUUCCGUGUUGCCAGCUGUCACCAGGGGUGUCCUUGAACAGUCUUCUGGAGUUCCUUAGCAUUGUGAUCUAGGCUUUUUCCAUGUGGAUCCUGCAUUGCCUAUGUCUUGUGCCCCUGGACCUGGUCUUGCAUCAAAGCUGUGAUAAUGGGAGUUUGUUGGCACAGCAAAUUCUCACCAGUAACCUGGGAUAUCCAAGUCCAUCCUGCCCAGCAGGGAGACUGGGGAGUACAUCCAGACAUGGAGAAUUUCUGGGAGAGCCCCGGAGAAGAAAGAAGGCUCCAGCCUUGCAGAUUAUUGUGGGUAACUGCGGAGAGUAUUUGGGAAGCCUUCCAAAGCUGGAACAGACAGGGAAGAAAAUUCCAAGAGUGGUGGGAGGUACUUUCUCCCAGGACUGGACAGCACUGAGAUGCUGGAACUGCCGCUGGAUGAGUGCUGAGCUCUCGUUGCUAUGGAUUCUGCUGCCUUAAUUGCUGCGGGUUCCAGUCACUGGAGAAUUGGAAAUACUUACUAAUUAGACCACAGAGAUGUUUUCUGAAACCUUUCUCUUAUUUUUGCCUUUAGUGGUAGAUUUUCUGCCUUUUGAAUUUACAGUGAUUCUCUCAUGUUACUCACCUACCCAAAUUCCUUGCAGCUCAUGGGGCAGAGAAAAGCUUCUCCUGUGUGUGAGGUUUGAUGGGAAAAUGAUACUGUGUGUUCCGCCUCCUUAAUAAAUGUAACUGCUCUUUAUAUCUUGGAGUGUAG